GACGAACGCUGGCGGCGUGCUUAACACAUGCAAGUCGAACGGUGAAGCGCCUUCCUUUUUGGUGGGUGUGGAUGAGUGGCGAACGGGUGAGUAACACGUGAGUAACCUGCCCCCUUCUUCUGGAUAACCGCAUGAAAGUGUGGCUAAUACGGGAUAUUCUGGGUCUGUCGCAUGAUGGGUCUGGGAAAGAUAUUGUUUCGGUGGGGGAUGGGCUCGCGGCCUAUCAGCUUGUUGGUGGGGUGAUGGCCUACCAAGGCGGUGACGGGUAGCCGGCCUGAGAGGGUGGACUGUCACACUGGGACUGAGACCCGGCCCAGACUCCUACGGGAGGCAGCAGUGGGGAAUAUUGCACAAUGGGCGCAAGCCUGAUGCAGCGACGCCGCGUGAGGGAUGGAGGCCUGCGGGUUGUGAACCUCUUUCGCCAGUGAAGCAGGCCUGCCUCGUUUGUGGGUGGGUUGACGGUAGCUGGAUAAGAAGCGCCGGCUAACUACGUG
rnacentral:rRNA from 1 species